AUAAACUGGUGACUUUUUUUGCUGCAGAUCCCAAACUUGAGCCGAGGUCACAUCGAGGACUGUGGACACUGGACUCAGAUGGAAAGGCCUGCUGAGACCAACAGAGUACUGAUAUCAUGGCUUCAGGAGACACACAAGAAGUCCGGAGGAUCUACUGUGACACCCAAACUCUGAAGACAGACGGACGGAUAAAAGGUUAUGACAUCACGAGAAGUAGAAAAUAACUCUCAAACCUCCUCAUAUCAAAAAUGACAUUCCCAGAUGAUGGAUUACAGACUAACAACAUGGAGGGGAUGAGAUGCUGCAACAAAACGCUUCACAAAUCGUUCUUUGAUACAAGAUUUUAGCAACAUGUUUAUAUAAAAUAUAUCAUGACAUGAUUAAAAACAAGUAAAUACAACUGUUUUUUUUUAUCUUAUUUUCACUAAAAGUUAACUUCUCUAAUGAAUAGACAGUCAAGACCUGCAGCACAUUUGAGCACCCUUUGUCACCAUCUAGUGGGCAAAGUGAGCAUUUCAGAGCUUCUGCUACAUAAUCCUAUUUGCAACCCAAAAAUUCAAUAAAAAAGGCAUUUAUAAAUGUCAAACAUGCAUGUUUU